UGCCAGCAGCCGCGGUAAUACAUAGGGGUCAAGCGUUGUCCGGAUUUAUUAGGUUUAAAGGGUUCGCAGGCGGAAUUUUAAGUCAGUGGUGAAAUCCUACAGCUCAACUGUAGAACUGCCAUUGAUACUGAAAUUCUUGAGUAUAGAUGAAGUGGGCGGAAUAUGUCAUGUAGCGGUGAAAUGCAUAGAUAUGACAUGGAACACCAAUUGCGAAGGCAGCUCACUAAACUAUUACUGACGCUCAUGAACGAAAGCGUGGGGAGCGAACAGGAUUAGAUA
rnacentral:rRNA from 1 species